UACGUAGGGUGCAAGCGUUGUCCGGAAUUAUUGGGCGUAAAGAGCUCGUAGGCGGUUCGUCGCGUCGGCUGUGAAAACCUGAGGCUCAACCUCAGGCCUGCAGUCGAUACGGGCGGACUUGAGUACUGCAGGGGUGACUGGAAUUCCUGGUGUAGCGGUGAAAUGCGCAGAUAUCGGAAGGAACAUCAGUGGCGAAAGCGGCUUCCUGGUCCAGCACCGACGUUCAGGCACGAAAGCGUGGGGAGCAAACAGG
rnacentral:rRNA from 1 species